rnacentral:sRNA from 1 species
AACAACAACAACAUUUAACACAUGUUGCUGCUAGGGCAAUGCCGGCAACAGUUACAACAACAGCAACAACAGCGGCUAAAACAGUCGCCAAAGCGGCAACGACAAUUUCUUUGUAAAAAGCUAUAACACGUAGCAUUAAGGCUUAGUUUUCAUAGUUAACGUACCCCAUUGAUUUCCUCGGCAUUGAUGCCACCAAAUUAAUGGAAGCCCAUAUAUUUUAAACAAAACGGUUUCCAUUUAAAAACUGCAGAGUUUUGUUUUUAAGUUUAAUCCUUAAGCGCAAAGGCGUCGAAACAUACUUACAUACCAUAGAUAACCGACAACAACAACAACAGCAACAAACAACAUACAACAUGACUACGAAAACAACAACAACAAAAACAAGAAGAAGAACGGCCAGAAGAAAGCAUUUCGCUAACAUUUGUCUUAAUGUUUUCCUACCCAAUAAUAUUGUUGUACAUCUUUUUUACUUCCCACAGCUGGUAAUGGCGGAGCGCGCCUGUCGGAGAAUGAGAGAGAGAAUAAAUAAGUGAGAGAGAGAGGGAGAGAGAGUGGCAAAGAGAUCUUGAAGACACACUGCAUCAUCAACAACAACAGGAAAAUAUAUGAAUCAAAGAAACAAACCAACAACU